GUUUGAUCUGAGAGCUUACAUUGCUCAUAUCAUGUGUUCUCAGGUCGCCCCUGCGGGACUUUCUCUACUAAAUUACGGGAUUGUUUUCAAAGUGUAUUUGAUUGUGGAUGCAGUUCCCACAAAUGAAAUUGGAGGUAAAAUAAAAAGAACAGGGAGAAAACCAGAAGAACCGGCAGCGCGAGGCAACAUGCCGAUAGGACAUGGGUUCCAUGACUUUGCCAGAGUCCACACCUGUGGUCUUUUACUCUCGCAAUCCAUAGCCAUUGGAUUUUUCUUCUUCAUAAUCUGUUGUUUAACUGACUCUAGCUUUCUAGCUGCUUCAUGUAUACAUUCCUCAAAUUGGGAUAUAUUCUUUGAAUUCAAUAAAGAGUUAUCAUCAUCAGAAA